AGAGAUCCCCAUCCUCCUCCUCCCCGUCCUUCUCCACCACCUGCCCCCCAGCUUCAUACAAUUGACUGUCAGAUGCACCCAGGAGCCGUUAGCAAAAUCGUCUUCAGGGAUGUGCUGGUCCAGGAAGAACACGCGGCACUCGUACCAGCCCUGGUCUUCCACCCGGAGACCCUCAAUCUGGAGAGAGGCCCCCUUCUGCAGCCGGACUCGUCCUGGGGGAGGAGCCCUGAAUCAAGGGUGCUGAAGGAACCCCAUGGAAGCCCCAGUCCCCUGGUCACACUGGUAAUUCUUAGAGGGGGAGGCUGAUGGACUCCUGAAGGACCGCAACCACUUCCUCGGAUCCACACCAUCUCCAGAGUCUCCUUUGGCUGCCUAUGCAGGAAGAAAAGAGAAGCAAACAACCCAGCUGCUGUCUCUGGGCUGCUGAACCUGGCAGUGGAGCUGCCAGAGUAGCGUAAUCUCAGCUGGGCAGCUUCUAUGACUCUCACACUAAAUCCUGUUCUCCAGCUGCUGCUUCUGACUCUAGAUUUCCCCUUUCCCUGAGUUAAGCACCUAAAAGGAGUUUGCUUCCAUCUGUCCCUUCACCCUCCAAGUUUUACCUUCUCCUUUGCCAUCUUGGGAUUGCUCUUUCUUCCAUAUCCCCAGGUGUCUCUCGGUCCUGCCCUGAAGCCACACACCCUACUCCUUGUAACUCCAGAAGAGCUGACACAUUCAACCCCUAAGAAAGGGUCUUACUGGCCCAGACCCAGUGGGGCAGGGGAACAGAGGUGUAGGGGACAUUCCUGUGCACGAGCUGGCAGCUUCACUCACCCUCCUGGAGCAGCAGGAGAAGAAGCAGCCAAGGAAAGGCACACAUGUCAGCAGCCCCCAGCCCCAGAGGUGUGAUUCAGUCAGUCAGUCCCCAGGACUGUGCAGAAGACUGCAUUAGGAGGCUCCUAGACACAAAGAGCCUGACUGAUGGUCCUGAGAAAAGGGAAAUAAUUUUCCCCUGACUACAGCCCUCUGACGUCCUCUGUCCUCACUAAGCCCCUCCCUAUGUAUCAUGGCUCUCUUAGUUCUCUUUCAGAUCCUGAUUGUCAUGACAGUUUACUCACUGACUCAUGAUGCCAUCCACCAAACUCAGCCCAAAUCCCACUUCCUAAAUGAAGUCUUUCAAGACUUCCUACCCGCCCCAGGUCCCCGCACGUACUGCAUGCCCCGAACUCGUAGAACAUUCCCUAUCCUGUUAUUUGGCUCCCAGGAUAUUCUUCCCUAGCUCUCUCUGGGUAAUUCCUAUGUUGCUGUGAUCAUUUGAUCUUAUAAACAUCUAUAUCUCC
rnacentral:lncRNA from 1 species